GACGAACGCUGGCGGCGUGCUUAACACAUGCAAGUCACGGGGGCCCGCAAGGGCAACCGGCGAACGGGUGCGUAACACGUGAACAACCUGCCCUCGUGUGGGGGAUAGCCGGGCUAACGCCCGGGUAAUACCGCAUACGGUCAUCGGGAGGAGUCUCCUGGUGAAGAAAGCUCCGGCGCACGGGGAGGGGUUCGCGGCCUAUCAGCUAGUUGGUGCGGUAACGGCGCACCAAGGCGACGACGGGUAGCUGGUCUGAGAGGAUGGCCAGCCACAUUGGGACUGAGAGACGGCCCAGACUCCUACGGGAGGCAGCAGUGGGGAAUCUUGCGCAAUGGCCGAAAGGCUGACGCAGCGACGCCGCGUGUGGGAGGACGCCUUUC
rnacentral:rRNA from 1 species